rnacentral:lncRNA from 1 species
UGUGCAGAAUUCAAGGAAAUGACUUCGACUGUGAAAAUUUUUUGUACUUCUUUCGAUCAAAAUUCGAACUCGGAAGUAGGGGGACCGGUGUUGGGUAUAAAAUACCCCCCAGCCAAAGUUCGUGACAGGAGUGACCCUCCAGGGAUCCAACCGACUUCCGACCUCCGACGACGUCUCUUCAAACCUCCCAGGCGGCCGAGCCCCCGCAACACUCCCAAGUUUUGCUGACGGAUAAGCCCCCACC